rfam:Gloeophyllum trabeum ATCC 11539 unplaced genomic scaffold GLOTRscaffold_00002, whole genome shotgun sequence.
GGCCGCGUGGCGUAAUGGCAACGCGUCUGACUACGAUUGUGUUAUCAGGAGAUUGCAGGUUCGACCCCUGCCGCGGUCA